rnacentral:rRNA from 1 species
UAAAGGAUGGGGAUGCGUCUGAUUAGCUUGCCGGCGGGGUAACGGCCCACCGGGGCGACGAUCAGUAGGGGUUCUGAGAGGAAGGUCCCCCACAUUGGAACUGAGACACGGUCCAAACUCCUACGGGAGGCAGCAGUGAGGAAUAUUGGUCAAUGGGCGCGAGCCUGAACCAGCCAAGUAGCGUGCAGGACGACGGCCCUAUGGGUUGUAAACUGCUUUUAUACGGGGAUAAAGUAUGCCACGUGUGGUUUAUUGCAGGUACCGUAUGAAUAAGGACCGGCUAAUUCCGUGCCAGCAGCCGCGGUAAUACGGAAGGUCCGGGCGUUAUCCGGAUUUAUUGGGUUUAAAGGGAGCGUAGGCCGGGUUUUAAGCGUGCCGUGAAAUGUCGGGGCUCAACCUUGACACUGCGGCGCGAACUGGAGUCCUUGAGUGCGCGGAACGUAUGCGGAAUUCGUGGUGUAGCGGUGAAAUGCUUAGAUAUCACGAAGAACCCCGAUUGCGAAGGCAGCAUACGGCAGCGCUACUGACGCUGAAGCUCGAAGGCGCGGGUAUCGAACAGGAUUAGAUACCCUGGUAGUCCGCGCGGUAAACGAUGGAUGCCCGCUGUUGGCGAUAUAUUGUCA